rnacentral:rRNA from 1 species
GAUCCUGGCUCAGGAUGAACGCUAGCUACAGGCUUAACACAUGCAAGUCGAGGGGCAGCGGGAAGUCAGCUUGCUGACUUUGCCGGCGACCGGCGCACGGGUGAGUAACACGUAUCCAACCUUCCCGUUACUCUGGAAUAGCCUUUCGAAAGAAAGAUUAAUACCGGAUAGUAUCGAGAGAUUGCAUGAUUACCCGAUUAAAGAUUUAUCGGUGAUGGAUGGGGAUGCGUCUGAUUAG